rnacentral:rRNA from 1 species
ACGUGAUCUGAGUUCAGACCGGAGUAAUCCAGGUCGGUUUCUAUCUAUAACAGAGCUUAUUCUAGUACGAAAGGACCGAAUAAGCAUGGCCUAUACCCACAGCAAGCCAUCACUAACAAUUUAUGAUAACCACUCAACUAAUUACUAACCUACAACCUCCCUCAAAAAAAGAGA